ACGGGUGCGUAACACGUAUGUAACCUACCUUUAUCAGGGGGAUAGCCUCUCGAAAGAGAGAUUAAGCCCGCAUAACAUUAAGGGAUAGCAUUAUUCCAUAAUCAAAUAUUUAUAGGAUAAAGAUGGGCAUGCGGAACAUUAGCUAGUUGGUAAGGUAAUGGCUUACCAAGGCUACGAUGUUUAGGGGAUCUGAGGGGAUGACCCCCCACACUGGUACUGAGACACGGACCAG
rnacentral:rRNA from 1 species